GCCGAAGUGGUGGAAUUGGUAGACACGCUAGACUUAGGAUCUAGUGUCGCGAGACGUGAAGGUUCAAGUCCUUUCUUCGGUACCA
rnacentral:tRNA from 1 species